rnacentral:lncRNA from 1 species
AGUUUAGCGUUUGCAUGGUAGAGUGCUUAAUUGUGUCAGAUUACACUUUUUUUCAUGAUCUCCAUGGCUUGUAUUUUUGCUGAGAAACAAUGACCUGUAAUCCGCUGUGGUUCUCGUGUUGAUCCACGGCUAUAAUAACAAGCCGAUUAGGAAAAAGAUGGAAGUUCGCUUGUAGGCAGCCUUCGAAUUUCUGACACAUGUUUGAAGCAAGGUAAAUGAUGAAAGAGCUGAAUAUACCCACCAUGGUAUACAUGAAGUUGCACUGAACAGUCACUUUUGUGUCACAAAUUAUAUAAAAAAAUACACGAUCUGAGUGCCAAAACUUCACUAAUAUAGUGCAUUUUCCAUCGUCUCUGGGUCCCAUUUGUCGGCAUACCAGAGAGAUAAAUCCUUCUCAGUCUCCCUAUAGCAGUAGGCUCACUUUUUAGAUGAGUGGGAGGAAAGAAACAGGAGCUAGUAAUAUGAAGGCCAGCUAAGAACAACUCGAGCAAAAAGGAGUGGUAGGAAAGAAACAGGAACUAAUAAGAAGGCCAGCUAAGUAUGCUGAUGAUAGUAAUAGCUCAUGUAAUUGGGUCGAUGAAACCCCAGAUUUUCUAGUUGUUCAUCUUGCAAACGAUGUAACCUUAUUACAAGUUCAAUAAAGCAACCAUAAUCUAAAAUGCCAAACGGAGACCGAGCUCUAUGGAGACCUUUAUUUGAAAACUUCAAAAUUCAAACUUUUUAGUUUCAAAAAAUUCUAAAAAUAAAUACACAUAUACGUGUUUGCAAAUUUUCAGGUUGAAAUACAUUAAAAUGUGAGCUAUACAAAAAAGACAAAUCGGGGGCUGUUUAGCAUAUGUACUGUUCAUCUUUAAAGUCUAUGUUUUUCUUUUUUUUUGUGUAGCUCGCAAUUCAAGGUAUUUCAUCCUGAAAAAUUUCACACAUACACUUUACAUCCUUGCAUACAUGUGUUAUUUUCUCAGAAUUUUUUAAGACUGAAAUUUUUUAUUUUUUAUUUUUUCAAAAUAAAGGUCCCCAUAAUGGCAUUCUCUCAAAAAAUAAGAAGGUCAGCUAAGAGCAACUGCGCGCGCGCACACACACAAGGCCAGCUAAGAGCAACUCUAAGCAGACCCCGCAAAAACAGUAAUAUGUUUUUCCCUAAACCGGAUUUGCGUACCGCAUGGCAUGGGGCAGAACACCUGUAAAUUCGUAUGAUAAUUCUUUUUUUCCCCACGCUUCUUCUUCUCCGGUCCACACGGAUGCAUGGGACGCAUGUAUGGACGGACUCGAACUUCGGUUGGCCAGAACACAUGGACAUAACGCACACAUGCAUGCCCAGGACGCAUGGUCGGCUUGCUCCGGCCGCCGUCUACUUCAGUGAUGCUCUGGCCGGCCGCUGCCGAGCUCCUCUGUCUGCUCGCUGCUCCUGCGCGGCACCGCCAGGCCGUCUGCUCCGGCGUUGAUCGGUUUAUGGUUUCCCUAAAAGAUGAUUGAAACCCUGCAAGUAUGGGUAUGUAGGGGUUAGUAUACGGGCCUGUAUUUUUUAGAUGAUCUAGUUGGUGCAUUUUUCAACCUAUACUGCAAAUUUAAAGGUUUAACCAUUUUUAUAGGAUCCGCUAGAGAUGUUGUAAGGGGACUCGGUCGAUGGAAAUACACGAUUUGAGUGCCAAAACUUGACUUGACGUCAUAAUAUGGUGCUUUUUUUCCAUCAUGUGUGUGUCCCACUUGUUGGCAUACAAGAGAAAUAAGGAGGCCAAUAGCCAGCGACCAUUCACUGGCCAGGAUGGCAUUUGCGCACGGCGCGACUGUCAGUUUCUAUAAUGGGUGUAAAAAAUUUCAAAAUUGCCAUGACAUUUCGUUUACAUCUAGGGUGUUUUUGAUCCGCCACCAUCUGAUUCCGACCAGACGGCUCUGGGGCGGCAGGAGGGGGGAGGGGGGGUGCGCUCUCUGGGAUUUCGUUCCCAUGAAACUUUCCCAAGAUAGCAUUACCGAGAAAGAAAUCUCUCUCUAUCGGAUGUGGGACAAGCCCUUAUUUGCUCAAUCUUCACAAAUUGAAGAGGGAGUUGAGGAGGAACACGAAGAACACAAAGGGGAAAACAUGAGGAAUCAAAGGGGAAAACACUCUAUUGUACAAUAUCCACACCAAGCAUCCCUCAAAUCACAAGCAAUACAUGAGGUGCAUCAAGAUCCAAACACUACAAGGGAAUAAAGAUACAAGGCAGUUCCUGAGAGAGAGGGUUCUUCUCCAAAUCUCUAUGGGAGAUGAAGUUCUUACUAAUCCUAUGGUGGGGAUUCUUCUCCACAAGUUUAGGCCUUGUCAACCAUGAAAGGUGCAACACCACAUAGAGGGAUCCCAUAAAGGGGAGGUAGAUGAGCUAAGCUCUCUCAAGUUUCUGUAAAUCCUAGCUAACACUAGAAUGGAGGAGAAUGAGGGGUAUAUAUAGUCCUACACAAUGAAGGGGUAAGCAGGGGCGUAAUGGGAAGUUACAUGGGCAAAGCUAAACAGUUGCACGUAGGUAACCCCGUGCGCACGAGGUAAGUGGAGCUUGCGGGCACGGUGUAUCCAGAGGGCUGACGCAGUAGCCCGUGCGUGUGGGGGUGGUAUCAUGGCACGGGGUAUUGAGAGGACUUUGUGGCUGCUGGCCUUCCAGUGGACACAUGUUCAUGCUUGCGGAGCCUUGACUUCAUCUUGACAGUUCCUUCUCUGCUUUCAUGCUCCCGUCGCGGAUGGUGCAGGCGCUCGCUUGUGGACAACCUCCUCAACGACACAUUAAGGAUGGAAUUCACGUUAGUAUGUUUGAAGUGGAUGUUGAGUGUGUCUCUUCGCAAUGGGACUCUUGACAUAGUGAUGUCCGUAGGGUGCUCCGCACCACUAUUCCCUUUUAAAAUUUUGCAAUAAGUCAGUAAACCAAAUUAAUGCUAGUGUCAAUGAUGAUGCAUGUGUAUGGCACUCUCGUUUAUGUCAUGUUAAUUUUGGUUUAAUGUCUCAACUAUCCAAUGAGUUUAACUCUAAAUUUCACUGUUGCCAAAGGUUCAAAGUGACAUAGUUGUGUGCAAUCAAAGCAACCUCGAAAGCCUCAAACGGCCGCCGAUGAGAGAAACUUGGCACCUCUAGAACUCAUACAUUCUGAUCUAUGUGAGAUAAAUGGUGCCUUGAAGAAAGGUGGAAAUAGAUAUUUCAUGACAUUGAUUUAUGAUGCAACUAGAUUUUGCUAUCUUUAUAUUUUUUUGCAGACUAGAGAUGAAGCUUUAGACUACUUUAAAAUCUAUAAGGCUGAAGUUGAAAAUCAAUUAGAGAGAAGAUCAAGCAUCUCAGGCCAGAUCGUUGUAGCGAGUAUUUUCCUAAAGUAUUUGAUGAAUUUUGUGAGGAACGCAGUAUUAUUCAUUAGAGAACGCCUCCUUAUUCAGCGCAACCAAACGGAGUAGCUUUGUCCAUUGGCAUCCGGUGGCUGGCGGUGCAUGGGGUUGUGAUGGCAACAGUUGGCGGUGAUGCUCAUCGGUGGCGAGGUGGCGAAGUGGUGAGACGUGGUGGGGGGAGGUGGUAGCACGUCACGCAUGAAGGCCUGAUCUGGGCGCUUGCAGGGUCGUGAAUGAGGAGUGUGGUGGGCGGUUGCUCCGGCAGUGAUGGCGUUCGGGCGGUGAUGGUGGAGACGGUUGAGGAUGGCAUUGUUUAGAUGUGGCAAGAUGGGAAGCUAAAGAUGUGCUCAGAUUUUUUCUGAGCCGGCGAUAGUGACGCCUUUUGGCAUCGUUACCUUGUUGAAGGAGUCAUCGAUGUUAUUCUUGCCUACCUGCCUGCCUGCUACUCCAAUGGGAACCCUAGGUCCAGUUAAUCUCUGAUCGGAUGAUGAUGUUAAUAGUGUCGUUUUCUCUCUUGAGAGCAUCGUUUUCAAGCUGCCUUGAUUAGGGGGGACCAGUGAAUUUGCUAGGUUCACACAGCUGUUGUUGAUUCAAUGUCUCGCCGGUGCCCUAUUUUGGGUGGUUAAGGUACGAGGUAGAGCAUGGCGACGGGUGGUGAAUCCUUUGUUGAGAUGUCGCAUUACAGAUGGUGUGUGGUACUUUGCCCGUGAACAAAAGACCUUGGACACAUAAUGGAUCAGGACUACUUUAAAAUCUAUAAGGCUGAAGUUGAAAAUCAAUUAGAGAGAAGAUCAAGCAUCUAAGGCCACAUCGUUGUAGCGAGUAUUUUCCUAAAGUAUUUGAUGAAUUUUGUGAGGAACGCAGUAUUAUUCAUGAGAGAACGCCUCCUUAUUCAGCGCAACCAAACGAAGUAGCUUUGUCCAUUGGCAUCCGGUGGCUGGCGGUGCAUGGGGUUGUGAUGGCAACAGUUGGCGGUGAUGCUCAUCGGUGGCGAGGUAGCGAAGUGGUGAGACGUGGUGGGGGGGGAGGUGGUGGCACGUCACGCGUGAAGGCCUGAUCUAGGCGCUUGCAGGGUCGUGAAUGAGGAGUGUGGUGGGCGGUUGCUCUGGCAGUGAUGGCGUUCGGGCGGUGAUGGUGGAGACGGUUGAGGAUGGCAUUGUUUAGAUGUGGCGAGAUGGGAAGCUAAAGUUGUGCUCAGAUUUUUUUCUGAGCCGGCGAUAGUGACGCCUUUUGGCAUCGUUACCUUGUUGAAGGAGUCAUCGAUGUUAUUCUUGCCUACCUGCCUGCCUGCUACUCCAAUGGGAACCCUAGGUCCAGUUAAUCUCUGAUCGGAUGAUGAUGUUAAUAGUGUCGUUUUCUCUCUUGGGAGCAUCGUUUUCGAGCUGCCUUGAUUAGGGGGGACCAGUGAAUUUGCUAGGUUCACACAACUGUUGUUGAUUCAAUGUCUCGUCGGUGCCCUGUUUUGGGUGGUUAAGGUAUGAGGUAGAGCGUGGCGACGGGUGGUGAAUCCUUUGUUGAGAUGUCGCGUUACAGAUGGUGUGUGGUACUUUGCCCGUGAACAAAAGACCUUGGACACAUAAUGGAUCAGGACUACUUUAAAAUCUAUAAGGCUGAAGUUGAAAAUCAAUUAGAGAGAAGAUCAAGCAUCUUAGGCCAGAUCGUUGUAGCGAGUAUUUUCCUAAAGUAUUUGAUGAAAUGUGAGGAACACAGUAUUAUUCAUGAGAGGACACCUCCUUAGUCAGCGCAACCAAACGGAGUAACUUUGUCCAUUGGCAUCCGGUGGCUGGCGGUGCAUGGGGUUGUGAUGGCAACAGUUGGCGGUGAUGCUCAUCGGUGGCGAGGUGGCGAAGUGGUGAGACGUGGUGGGGGGAAGGUGGUGGCACGUCAUACGUGAAGGCCUGAUCUGGGCGCUUGCAGGGUUGCGACUGAGGAGUGUGGUGGGCGGUUGCUCUGGCAGUGAUGGCGUUCGGGCGGUGAUGGUGGAGACGGUUGAGGAUGGCAUUGUUUAGAUGUGGCGAGAUGGGAAGCUAAAGUUGUGCUCAGAUUUUUUGCUAAGCCGGCAAUAGUGACGCCUUUUGGCAUCGUUACCUUGUUGAAGGAGUCAUCGAUGUUAUUCCUGCCUACCUGCCUGCCUGCCACUCCAAUGGGAACCCUAGGUCUAGUUAAUCUCUGAUCGGAUGAUGAUGUUAAUAGUGUCGUUUUCUCUCUUGGGAGCAUCGUUUUCGAGCUGCCUUGAUUAGGGGGGACCAGUGAAUUUGCUAGGUUCACGCAGCUGUUGUUGCUUCAAUGUCUCACCGGUGCCCUAUUUUGGGUGGUUAAGGUAUGAGGUAGAGCGUGGCGACGGGUGGUGAAUCCUUUGUUGAGAUGUCGCGUUACAGAUGGUGCGUGGUACUUUGCCCGUGAACAAAAGACCUUGGGCACAUAAUGGAUCAGGACUACUUUAAAAUCUAUAAGGCUGAAGUUGAAAAUCAAUUAGAGAGAAGAUCAAGCAUCUUAGGCCAGAUCAUUGUUGCGAGUAUUUUCCUAAAGUAUUUGAUGAAUUUUGUGAGGAACGCAGUAUUAUUCAUGAGAGGACGCCUCCUUAUUCAGCGCAACCAAACGGAGUAGCUUUGUCCAUUGGCAUCCGGUGGCCGGUGGUGCAUGGGGUUGUGGUGGCAAAAGUUGGCGGUGAUGCUCAUCGGUGGCGAGGUGGCGAAGUGGUGAGACGUCGUAGGGGGGGAGGUGGUGGCACAUCACGCGUGAAGGCCUGAUCUGGGCGCUUGCAGGGUCGCGACUGAGGAGUGUGGUGGGCGGUUGCUCCGGCAGUGAUGGCGUUCGGGCGGUGAUGGUGGAGACGGUUGAGGAUGGCACUGUUGGAAAUAUGCCCUAGAGGCAAUAAUAAAAUGGUUAUUAUUAUAUUUCUUUGUUCAUGAUAAUUGUGUAUUGUUCAUGCUAUAAUUGUGUUAUCCGGAAAUCGUAAUACAUGUGUGAAUACAUAGACCACAACAUGUCCCUAGUGAGCCUCUACUUGACUAGCUCGCUGAUCAAAAGAUAGUCAUGGUUUCCUGACUAUGGACAUUGGAUGUCAUUGAUAACGGGAUCACAUCAUUAGGAGAAUGAUGUGAUGGACAAGACCCAAUCCUAAGCAUAGCUCAAAGAUCGUGUAGUUCGUUUGCUAUAGUUUUUCCGAAUGUCAAGUAUCAUUUCCUUAUACCAUGAGAUUGUGCAACUCCCGGAUACCGUAGGAGUGCUUUGGGUGUGCCAAACGUCACAACGUAACUGGGUGACUAUAAAGGUACACUACAGGUAUCUCCGAAAGUGUCUGUUGGGUUGGCACGAAUCGAGACUGGGAUUUGUCCCUCCGUAUGACGGAGAGGUAUCUCUGGGCCCACUCGGUAAUGCAUCAUCAUAAUGAGCUCAAUGUGACCAAGUGGUUGAUCACGGGAUCAUGCAUUAUGGUACUAGUAAAGUGACUUGGCGGUAACGAGAUUGAACGAGGUAUUGGGAUACCGACGAUCGAGUCUCGGGCAAGUAACGUACCGAUUGACAAAGGGAAUUGUAUACAGAUUGAUUGAAUCCUCGACAUCGUGGUUCAUCCGAUGAGAUCAUCGAGGAGCAUGUGGGAGCCAACAUGGGUAUCCAGAUCCCGCUGUUGGUUAUUGACCGGAGAGUCGUCUCGGUCAUGUCUGCGUGUCUCCCGAACCCGUAGGGUCUACACACUUAAGGUUCGGUGACGCUAGGGUUGUUGAGAUAUUAGUAUACGGUAACCCGAAAGUUGUUCGGAGUCCCGACUGAGAUCCCGGACGUCAUGAGGAGUUCCGGAAUGGCCCGGAGGGAAGAUUUAUAUAUAGGAAGUCAAGUUUCGGCCAUCGGGAAAGUUUCGGAGAUAAUCGGCAUUGUACCGGGACCACCGGAAGGGUCCCGGGGGUCCACCGGGUGGGGCCACCUAUCCUAGAGGGCCCCAUGGGCUAAAGUGGGAGGGGAACCAGCCCCUAGUGGGCUGGUGCGCCCCCCUUGGGCCUCCGCCUGCGCCUAGGGUUCGAAACCCUAGGGGUGGGGCGCCCCACUUGGCUCUUGGCUUGGGGGGCACUCCACCCCCCUUGGCCGCCGCCCCCUUGGAGAUCCCAUCUCCUAGGGCCGGCGCCCCCCUAGGGGUCCUAUAUAUAGUGGGGGGAAGGGAGGGCAGCCGCACCCUAGCCCCUGGCGCCUCCCUCUCCCUCCCAUGACACUCCUCCCUCUCCCUGAGCUUGGCGAAGCCCUGCCGAGAUCACUGUUGCUUCCACCACCACGCCGUCGUGCUGCUGGAUCUUCAUCAACCUCUCCUUCCCCCUUGCUGGAUCUUCAUCAACCUCUCCUUCCCCCUUGCUGGAUCAAGUUGGAGGAGACGUCUUCCCAACCGUACGUGUGUUGAACGCGGAGGUGUCGUCCGUUCGGCGCUAGGUCAUCGGUGAUUUGGAUCACGACGAGUACGACUCCAUGAACCCUGUUCUCUUGAACGCUUCCACGUGCGAUCUACAAGGGUAUGUAGAUGCACUCCCCUCUCCCUCGUUGCUAGAUGACUCCAUAGAUUGAUCUUUGUGAUGCGUAGAAAAUUUUACAAUUCUGCUACGUUCCCCAACAGUGGUAUCAGAGCUAGGUCUAUGCAUAGUUUCUAUGCACGAGUAGAACAUAAAGCAGUUGUGGGCGUCGAUAUUGUCAAUUUGUUUGCCGUUACUAGUCUUAUCUUGAUUCGGCGGCAUCGUGGGAUGAAGCGGCCCGGACCGACCUUACACGUACGCUUACGUGAGACUGGUUCCACCGAUUGACAUGCACUAGUUGCAUAAGGUGGCUGGCGGGUGUCUGUCUCUCCCACUUUAGUCGGAUCGGAUUCGAUGAAAAGGGUCCUUAUGAAGGGUAAAUAGAAAUUGGCAUAUCACGUUGUGGUUUUGGCGUAGGUAAGAAACGUUCUUGCUAGAAACCUAUAGCAGCCACGUAAAAACUUGCAACAACAAUUAGAGGACGUCUAACUUGUUUUUGCAGCAUGUGUCGUCUGAUGUGAUAUGGCCAAAACGAUGUGAUGAAUGAUAUAUGUGAUGUAUGAGAUUGAUCAUGUUCUUGUAAUAGAAAUCACGACUUGCAUGUCGAUGAGUAUGACAACCGGCAGGAGCCAUAGGAGUUGUCUUAAUUUAUUUAUGAGGUGGAGCUACGGGGGGACGAGCGGGGGCCACGCCCCCCAACCGCUGCGUCGUACAUAAGUUGCGUAGGCUACGUCAGGUAGAUUAGGGGCUACGUCAGGCAGAUUUAGGACUAAUUGCCCCCCCCCUAAGUUUUUUAAGGGGUGAUAAAUAAAUUUAUUCAUCAAAAUCCACAUGAAGUGGGAUACGAAUCUGGUUGUACGGAAUGCCUAACCGGACGUGACGACCGGGACCUCUAGAAAGGGAAAAUUUAGCUAAACCGUGUGCUUCAUAGUUCACAGCACGACCCUCGAAAAUAAAUUUACAUUGGACAUUAAUAGCUCUAAGGCGAAUCUCCCUGAUAAUUGCUCCAUAUCUUCCUCCACUGUUGUUGCCAAUAUCCGCCACAACCUGUUUGCAAUCAGAUGCGAUGACAAAAUGGUGGAUGUUGAGGUCCUCCGCCAGGCACAACGCCUCUCGACAUGCUAUCGACUCCAAAGAUGCCGGAUCAGUGACACCCUCCCUGACCAAGGCCGAAGCCCCAAUAUAAUUCCCCGCUUCAUCUCUGCAAACUGCACCUGCCGCUCUUCCUCUUCUCGCGCGAACGGAUGCAUCAACAUGUAUCUUGUAUGCUCCGGGGGGUGGUUUCUUGGGGUUUUGUCUUUGUGGCCGCGGUUGGCUCACUCCUUGCAGGGGGCAUCGGUUUGAAUUAAUCACACCGAGCUCUGCCAUGAAACUUGUGAUGAAGGAGUGUGUCUGAUGGGGGCUUUGGAAUAUUGCCUCAUGAAUAGCUUUACGUCGAGCAUGCCAAAUCGCCCAAGCAGUGACCGCCAGCAAAGCAAAGCUCUCUUGCGUCAAGCUCUCGAUCAAAGUGAACAACCAGUUUUUUGCAUUAGGUUCUGUGGUCGCCAUGAUUUUAUGCAGCACUUCCUCAUCUCCCAACGCCCAUACACUCCGCGAGGCGUUACACUCCAAUAACGAAUGCCUCCAUGAGUCUUGUACUCCACACAACCCGCAUAGGCUAGAAUCCGCCAUAUGCCGGUGCGCUCGUACAUCGUUUGUAGGCAGCGACUGUUUCGCUAAUCUCCACAAGAACAUUCUGACCUUCCCUGGAACUGAUGUACUCCAUAAGGAUUUCCACGCGCCAGAAUCAGCCCUGGCACUGGACGGUCCUGCCGAUCCCUCGAGCCAAGCCUCUCUUCGCUGUCUAGUUGCAAUGAUCAUCUUAUAUGCUGACCUGACCGAAAAGAUGCCAUGUUUUUCAUAGUGCCAAGCCCAAUAAUCUGACACAUUCCGUGUGCAUAAAGGAAUUUCCAAUAUCAUCUCAGCGUCCAUCGGCAUAAAAGUUGCUUGCACAAGUUGCCUGUCCCAAGAUGCCGUAGCAUUAGAUAUAAGCUCCGAAACCAUUAAAGGAGGGUUUUGUGUUAAGCAUCCAUAUGGCCUGAGCAUCUCGUCCCUUGGGAGCCAAUUGUGUUCCCCCCUAAGUGUGCGCUUAAGGCUUGAAGCCCAGGAACUUUGCAUGUUAAAAGCCCAUGUACUAGCUAGUCAGCCCACACUACACGAAACAAACUACCAGGUAGUUUCGGAAGCUGACGAGGCCACCAGGGCAUCCUCUAUCGAUUGUUUCGGCGUUGUCUCAAAAAAAAAUUGUUUCAGCGCAGACGCAAUACGCGUGGCCGCAAGUUCAACUAGGGCAUCCGCACAACCGAUCAGCGCUGGCGGCGACGACAGUAUACUCCUGCAGUGAGUCCCUUGAUUCCUUUAUUGAUUUAUACUGUGCAACAAUACUGAUGAAUUGAUCCGCAUCUGGCUCGAGAAGGCCAGAAACUUCUUGUUCAGAUGAAGUUAAUUAAGGGUGUCAAUUUCUUGUUUUCUUCUAAAAAAUUGGUACACUAAAUUAGGCAUUCGCUGAUUAUGAUUCUAUCAUCUAACUUUCAUAUUUCACCCUUAGGACAACACAUUAUGGCUCACGCCAGAUCUAAGAGCUAGGUGUAUCAUUGGCUAGAGGCUCAGGUCUAGCCUAUUGCAGUUUUUUAUUAUUCACAAACUGCUAGAUGCUAGUUUCUGUUUUUCAGGCUGAUUAGGUGAUGUACAAACUACCGAUCAAAUAUUCGGGCUCAAGUAAAAUUUACACAACCAGCUAGAAUCGAAAGAGCACCCUAUAAAAUUGUCGACUUUGUUCUAUGGGUUUUACGCAUAAGAGCCACAUUAAACUAAUGAAAAAUCAACAUUUUUAUAGUUGCAACAUACAAAUUAAUCAUGUGUUUCUCUUUGUACGGUCAUUAUAUGAAAAAAAAAAUGUUCAUUGUCUUCUUCGCCCUCCCUAUGGUCAAAUCCUGGCUCCGCCCCUGCCUGCAUGUCAACAUAAACGUCAUGUAAUUACUUUACUUUAUUGCUAAAGCGUUAGCCAUAGUAGUAGAAGUAAUAGAUGACGAGACAACUUCAAGAAGACACGAUGAUGGAGAUCAUGAUGAUGGAGAUCAUGAUGUCAUGCCAGUGACAACGAUGAUCAUGAAGCCCCGAAGAUGGAGAUCAAAAGGAGCAAAUGAUAUUGGCCAUAUCAUGUCACUAUUUGAUUGCAUGUGAUAUUUAUCAUGUUUUGCAUCUUAUUUGCUUAGAACGAUGGUAGCUUAAAUAAGAUGAUCCCUCGUAAUAAUUUCAAGAAAGUGUUCCCCCUAACUGUGCACCGUUGCGAAGGUUCGUUGUUUCGAAGCACCACAUGAUGAUCGGGUGUGAUAGAUUCUAACGUUCGAAUAUAACGGGUGUAAGCCAGAUUUACACACGCAAUACACUUAGGUUGACUUGACGAGCCUAGCAUGUACAGACAUGGCCCCGAAACACGGGAGACCGAAAGGUCGAGCAUGAGUCAUAUAGAAGAUACGAUCAACAUGAAGAUGUUCACCGAUGUUGACUAGUCCGUUUCAUGUGAUGAUCGGACACGACCUAGUUGACUCGGAUCAUGUUUCACUUAGAUGACUAGAGGGAUGUCUAUCUGAGUGGGAGUUCAUUGAAUAAUUUGAUUAGAUGAACUUAAUUAUCAUGAACUUAGUCUAAAAUCGUUACAAUAUGUCUUGUAGAUCAAAUGGCCCACGUUGUCCUCAACUUCAACGCGUUCCUAGAGAAAAUCAAACUAAAAGAUGAUGACAGCAACUAUACGGACCGGGUCCGGAACCUGAGGAUCGUCCUCAUAGCUGCCAAGAAAGAUUAUGUCCUAGAAGCACCGCUAGGUGACGCACCCAUCCCACAGAACCAAGACGUUAUGAACGCUUGGCAGUCACGUGCUGAUGAUUACUCCCUCGUUCAGUGCGGCAUGCUUUACAGCUUAGAACCGGGGCUCCAAAAGCGUUUUGAGAGACACAGAGCAUAUGAGAUGUUCGAAGAGCUGAAAAUGGUUUUCCAAGCUCAUGCCCGGGUCGAGAGAUAUGAAGUCUCCGACAAGUUCUUCAGUUGUAAGAUGGAGGAAAAUAGUUCUGUCAGUGAGCACAUACUCAAAAUGUCUGGGUUACAUAACCGCUUGACUCAGCUAGGAGUUAAUCUCCUGGAUGACACGGUCAUUGACAGAAUCCUUCAGUCGCUUCCACCGAGCUACAAGAGCUUUGUGAUGAACUUCAAUAUGCAGAGGAUGGAAAAGAUCAUUCCUGAGGUAUAUUCAAUGCUGAAAUCAGCAGAGGUGGAAAUCAAAAAGGAACAUCAAGUGUUGAUGGUGAAUAAAACAACUAAGUUCAAGAAAGGCAAGGGUAAGAAGAACUUCAAGAAGGACGGCAAGGGAGUUGCCGCGCCCGGUAAGCAAGCUGCCGGGAAGAAGUCAAAGAAUGUACCCAAGCCUGAGACUGAGUGUUUUUAUUGCAAGGGAAGUGGUCACUGGAAGCGAAACUGCCCCAAAUACUUAGCGGACAAGAAGGCCGGCAACACUAAAGGUAUAUGUGAUAUACAUGUAAUUGAUGUGUACCUUACCAGUACUCGUAGUAACUCCUGGGUAUUUGAUACCGGUGCCGUUGCUCACAUUUGUAACUCAAAGCAGGAGCUGUGGAAUAAGCGGAGACUGGCGAAGGACGAGGUGACGAUGCGCGUCGGGAAUGGUUCCAAGGUCGAUGUGAUCGCCGUCGGCACGCUGCCUCUACAUUUACCUACGGGAUUAGUUUUAAACCUCAAUAAUUGUUAUUUAGUGCCAGCUUUGAGCAUGAACAUUGUAUCAGGAUCUCGUUUAAUUCGAGAUGGCUACUCAUUUAAAUCCGAGAAUAAUGGUUGUUCUAUUUAUAUGAGAGAUAUGUUUUAUGGUCAUGCUCCGCUGGUGAAUGGUUUAUUCUUAAUGAAUCUCGAGCGUAAUGUUACACAUAUUCAUAGUGUGAAUAUCAAAAGAUGUAAGGUUGAUAAUGAUAGUCCCACAUACUUGUGGCACUGCCGCCUUGGUCACAUAGGUGUCAAACGCAUGAAGAAGCUCCAUGCCGAUGGACUUUUGGAGUCUCUUGAUUACGAAUCAUUUGACACAUGCGAAUCAUGCCUCAUGGGUAAAAUGACCAAGACUCCGUUCUCAGGAAUAAUGGAGCGAGCAACCAACUUAUUGGAAAUCAUACAUACUGAUGUAUGCGGUCCAAUGAACGUUGAGGCUCGCGGUGGCUAUCGUUAUGUUCUCACCCUCACUGAUGACUUGAGUACAUAUGGGUAUGUCUACUUAAUGAAACACAAGUCUGAGACCUUUGAAAAGUUCAAGGAAUUUUAGAGUGAGGUUGAAAAUCAACGUGACAGAAAAAUCAAGUUCUUGCGAUCAGAUCGCGGGGGAGAAUACUUGAGUCACGAAUUUGGCACACACUUAAGGAAAUUUGGAAUAGUUUCACAACUCACGCCGCCUGGAACACCUCAGCGUAAUGGUGUGUCCGAACGUCGUAAUCGCACUCUAUUGGAUAUGGUGCGAUCUAUGAUGUCUUUUACCGAUUUACCAUUGUCAUUUUGGGGCUAUGCUUUAGAGACUGCCGCAUUCACUUUAAAUAGGGCUCCGUCGAAAUCCGUUGAGACGACACCGUAUGAAUUAUGGUUUGGGAAGAAACCUAAGCUGUCGUUUCUAAAAGUUUGGGGAUGCAAUGCUUAUGUCAAGAAACUUCAACCUGAAAAGCUCGAACCCAAAUCGGAAAAAUGCGUCUUCAUAGGAUACCCUAAAGAAACUAUUGGGUAUACCGUCUACCUCAGAUCCGAAGGCAAGAUCUUUGUUGCCAAGAAUGGAUCCUUUCUAGAGAAAGAGUUUCUCUCGAAAGAAAUAAGUGGGAGGAAAGUAGAACUCGAUGAAGUAUUACCUCUUGAACCGGUAAGUGGCGUAGCUCAAGAAAAUGUUCCUGAGGUGCCUUCACCGACUAGAGAGGAAGUUAAUGAUGAUGUCAUGAAACUUCAGAUCAAGUUGCUACUAAACUUCGUAGGUCCACAAGGACACGUUCCGCACCAGAGUGGUACGGCAACCCUGUCUUGGGAAUCAUAUUGUUAGGUAAUGGUGAACCUUCGAACUAUGAAGAAGUGAUGGCGGGCCCAGAUUCCGACAAAUGGCUGGAAGCCAUGAAAUCCGAGAUAGGAUCCAUGUAUGAAAACGAAGUAUGGACUUUGACUGACUUGCCCGAUGAUCGGCGAGCCAUAGAAAAUAAAUGGAUCUUUAAGAAGAAGACAGACGCGGAUGGUAAUGUAACCAUCUAUAAAGCUCGGCUUGUCGCUAAGGGUUAUCGACAAGUUCAAGGGGUUGACUACGAUGAUACUUUCUCACCCGUAGUGAAGCUAAAGUCCAUCCGAAUCAUGUUAGCAAUUGCCGCAUUCUAUGAUUAUGAGAUAUGGAAAAUGGACGUCAAAACGGCAUUCCUUAAUGGUUUCCUUAAGGAAGAAUUGUAUAUGAUGCAGCCGGAAGGUUUUGUCGAUCCUAAGAAUGCUGACAAGGUGUGCAAGCUCCAACGCUCGAUUUAUGGGCUGGUGCAAGCAUCUCGGAGUUGGAACAUUCGUUUUGAUGAGAUGAUCAAAGCGUUUGGGUUUACGCAGACUUAUGGAGAAGGCUGCAUUUACAAAAAAGUGAGUGAGAGCUCUGUAGCAUUUCUCAUAUUGUAUGUGGAUGACAUACUGUUGGUGGGAAAUGAUAUAGAAUUCUUGGAAAGCAUAAAGGCCUACUUGAACAAGUAUUUUUCAAUGAAGGAUCUUGGAGAAUCUGCUUAUAUAUUAGGCAUCAAGAUCUAUAGAGAUAGAUCGAGACGCCUCAUUGGUCUUUCACAGAGUACGUACCUUGACAAGAUAUUGAAGAAGUUCAAAAUGGAUCAGUCAAAGAAGGGGUUCUUGCCUGUAUUGCAAGGUACGAGAUUGAGCACGGCUCAAUGCCCGACCACGGCAGAAGAUAGAGAAAAGAUGAGUGUCGUCUCCUAUGCCUCGGCCAUAUGGUCUAUCAUGUAUGCUAUGCUGUGUACCAGACCUGAUGUAAACCUUGCCGUAAGUUUGGUAGGAAGGUACCAAAGUAAUCCCGGCAUGGAACACUGGACAACGGUCAAGAAUAUUCUGAAGUACCUGAAAAGGACCAAGGAAAUAUUUCUUGUUUAUGAAGGUGACGAAGAGCUCGUCGUAAAGGGUUACGUCGAUGCUAGCUUCGACACAGAUCUGGAUGACUCUAAGUCACAAACCGGAUACGUGUAUAUUUUGAAUGGUGGGGCAGUAAGCUGGUGCAGUUGCAAGCAAAGCAUUAUGGCGGGAUCUACAUGUGAAGCGGAGUACAUGGCAGCCUCGGAGGCAGCACAAGAAGCAGUCUGGGUGAAGGAGUUCAUUACCGACCUAGGAGUCAUACCCAAUGCGUCGGGCCCGAUGACUCUCUUCUGUGACAACACUAGAGCUAUUGCCCUUGCCAAGGAGCCCAGGUUUCACAGGAAGACCAGGCAUAUGAAGCGUCGCUUCAACUCCGUUCGUGAAAGUGUUCAAAAUAGAGACAUAGAGAUUUGUAAAGUACAUACGGACCUGAAUGUGGCAGAUCCGUUGACUAAACCUCUCCCAAGAGCAAAACAUGAUCAACACCAGAACUGCAUGGGUGUUCGAUUCAUCACAAUGCAACUAGACUAUUGACUCUAGUGCAAGUGGGAGACUGUUGGAAAUACGCCCUAGAGGCAAUAAUAAAAUGGUUAUUAUUAUAUUUCUUUGUUCAUGAUAAUUGUCUAUUGUUCAUGCUAUAAUUGUGUUAUUCGGAAAUCGUAAUACAUGUGUGAAUACAUAGACCACAACACGUCCCUAGUGAGCCUCUAGUUGACUAGCUCGCUGAUCAAAAGAUAGUCAUGGUUUCCUGACUAUGGACAUUGGAUGUCAUUGAUAACGGGAUCACAUCAUUAGGAGAAUGAUGUGAUGGACAAGACCCAAUCCUAAGCAUAGCUCAAAGAUCGUGUAGUUCGUUUGCUAUAGUUUUUCCGAAUGUCAAGUAUCAUUUCCUUAUACCAUGAGAUUGUGCAACUCCCGGAUACCGUAGGAGUGCUAUGGGUGUGCCAAACGUCACAACGUAACUGGGUGACUAUAAAGGUACACUACAGGUAUCUCCGAAAGUGUCUGUUGGAUUGGCACGAAUCGAGACUGGGAUUUGUCACUCCGUAUGAUGGAGAGGUAUCUCUGGGCGCACUCGGUAAUGCAUCAUCAUAAUGAGCUCAAUGUGACCAAGUGGUUGAUCAUGGGAUCAUGCAUUACGGUACGAGUAAAGUGACUUGGCGGUAACGAGAUUGAACGAGGUAUUGGGAUACCGACGAUCGAGUCUCGGGCAAGUAACGUACCGAUUGACAAAGGGAAUUGUAUACAGAUUGAUUGAAUCCUCGACAUCAUGGUUCAUCCGAUGAGAUCAUCGAGGAGCAUGUGGGAGCCAACAUGGGUAUCCAGAUCCAGCUGUUGGUUAUUGACCGGAGAGUCGUCUCGGUCAUGUCUGUGUGUCUCCCGAACCCGUAGGGUCUACACACUUAAGUUUCGGUGACGCUAGGGUUGUUGAGAUAUUAGUAUACGGUAACCCGAAAGUUGUUCGGAGUCUCGGAUGAGAUCCCGGACAUCACGAGGAGUUCCGGAAUGGUCCUAAGGUGAAGAUUUAUAUAUAUGAAGUCAAGUUUCGGCCAUCGGGAAAGUUUCGGGGGUGAUCGGUACCGGGACCACCGGAAGGGUCCCGGGGGUCCACCGGGUGGGCCCACCUAUCCUGGAGGGCCCCAUGGGCUAAAGUGGGAGGGGAACCAGCCCCUAGUGGGCUGGUGCGCCCCCCUUGGGCCUCCCCCUGCGCCUAGGGUUGGAAACCCUAGGGGUGGGGGGCGCCCCACUUGGCUUGGGGGGCACUCCACCCCCCUUGGCCGCCGCCCCCCUUGGAGAUCCCAUCUCCUAGGGCCGGAGCCCCCCUAGGGGUCCUAUAUAUAGUGGGGGGAAGGGAGGGCAGCCGCACCCUAGCCCCUGGCACCUCCCUCUCCCUCCCGUGACACUCCUCCCUCUCCCUGAGCUUGGCGAAACCCUGCUGAGAUCACCGUUGCUUCCACCACCACGUCGUCGUGCUGCUGGAUCUUCAUCAACCUCUCCUUCCCCCUUGCUGGAUCAAGUUGGAGGAGACGUCUUCCCAACCAUAUGUGUGUUGAACGCGGAGGUGUCGUCCGUUCGGCGCUAGGUCAUCGGUGAUUUGGAUCACGACGAGUACGACUCCAUCAACCCCAUUCUCUUGAACGCUUCCGCGCGCGAUCUACAAGGGUAUGUAGAUGCACUCUCAUCUCCCUCGUUGCUAGAUGACUCCAUAGAUUGAUCUUGGUGAUGCGUAGAAAAUUUUAAAAUUCUGCUACGUUCCCCAACAGGCAUUGUUUAGAUGUGGCGAGAUGGGAAGCUAAAGUUGUGCUCAGAUUUUUUUUCUAAGCCGGCAAUAGUGACGCCUUUUGGCAUUGUUACCUUGUUGAAGGAGUCAUCGAUGUUAUUCUUGCCUACCUGCUGCCUGCUACUCCAAUGGGAACCCUAGGUCUAGUUAAUCUCUGAUCAGAUGAUGGUGUUAAUAGUGUCGUUUUCUCUCUUGGGAGCAUCGUUUUUGAGCUGCCUUGAUUAGGGGGGACCAGUGAAUUUGCUAGGUUCACGCAACUGUUGUUGCUCCAAUGUCUCGCCGGUGCCCUAUUUUGGGUGGUUAAGGUAUGAGGUAGAGCGUGGCGACGGGUGUGAAUCCUUUGUUGAGAUGUCGCGUUACAGAUGGUGCGUGAUACUUUGUCCGUGAACAAAAGACCUUGGACACAUAAUGGAUCAGGACUACUUUAAAAUCUAUAAGGCCGAAGUUGAAAAUCAAUUAGAGAGAAGAUCAAGCAUCUUAGGCCAGAUCGUUGUAGCGAGUAUUUUCCUAAAGUAUUUGAUGAAUUUUGUGAGGAACGCAGUAUUAUUCAUCAGAGGACGCCUCCUUAUUCAGCGCAACCAAACAGAGUAGCUUUGUCCAUUGGCAUCCGGUGGCUGGCGGUGCAUGGGGUUGUGAUGGCAGCAGUUGGCAGUGAUGCUCAUCGGUGGCGAGGUGGCGAAGUGGUGACACGUGGUGGGGGGAGGUGGUGGCACGUCACGCGUGAAGGCCUGAUCUGGGCGCUUACAGGGUCGUGACUGAGGAGUGUGGUGGGCGGUUGCUCCGGCAGUGAUGGCGUUCGGGCGGUGAUGGUGGAGACGGUUGAGGAUGACAUUGUUUAGAUGUGGCGAGAUGGGAAGCUAAAGUUGUGCUCAUAUUUCUUUCUGAGCCGGCGAUAGUGAUGCCUUUUGGCAUCGUUACCUUGUUGAAGGAGUCAUCGAUGUUAUUCUUGCCUGCCUGCUACUCCAAUGGGAACCCUAGGUCCAGUUAAUCUCUGAUCGGAUGAUGAUGUUAAUAGUGUCAUUUUUCUUUUGGGAGCAUCGUUUUCGAGCUGCCUUGAUUAGGGGGGACCAGUGAAUUUGCUAGGUUCACGCAGCUGUUUUUGCUUCAAUGUCUCGCCGGUGCCCUAUUUUGGGUGGUUAAGGUACGAGGUAGAGCAUGGCGACGGGUGGUGAAUCCUUUGUUGAGAUGUCGCGUUACAGAUGGUGCGUGGUACUUUGCCCGUGAUAAUCACGGCCUUGGAGGGAUAGUGACAACUUGUGGCGUAUCACUCGGGGUGCCCAGAUUUACCACUAACAAACACUUGUGACGAAAGCAGGAUUGUCAGAUCGCCUCCAAGGUGUGAUUUCGAUGGUGGUGUCUACUCUUGCCCUGCCAUCAAUGGCUUCGUGGUAGGCUCCUUGCUAGUUGUGUGCAUGACUUUCAGCUCAUGUGGAUAUCACACCUGGACCAUAUGCGCUUACAUCAUUUUUGAUGGCUACAACUGCUCGAUGAGGAUCAAUGUUGCAUGUUGCUCUUCUCCCCCUUUUAUAUAUUUUUCCUCCACCUAGGCAUAGCAUUGGCCUUCUAUGGCUUUGCUAUUUGAUGAUAAGAAAAUCUCAGGACCUAGAUAUUCAUUUUGUAUAAUUGAACCUUUUCAAACUGUUUCUUUUUAGAACAAAAAAAACUUAUGCCAAAAUACCGGAUACGAAGGAAAACAAAAGACCUUGGACACAUAAUGGAUCAGGAAGCACGAUUUCUACGCCCCCCAACCCCCACCAAAACCUCCCACAUAAGGGUUGCUUGUUAAUGGUUGAUCAAGAUUGAUGUAUUCCCCCUGUGAAAUUAGAAGUUUUGCUCCAUCUAAUGAAAACGCCAUUUUUGAAGGAAAAAAAAUCAGGUGCUUAUAACUUAUUUGGAUUAAUUCCAACUUGGAUCAUUUCAUCGUGCUGAGUCCAUGGGAGUUCCCAUUUACCUUCGUAGAACAAAAUCAAGAUAAAAUAAUAAAAUGUAAUGAAACUUGAAGACUAUGCAAUGCUGACAUUAAAAUGCUUGAAAGAAGGUACUAUUAAUUCCUAAAUCCUACGUUCCCCCCUCCCCCGCGCCGCCCCUAGCGGGCGUCUCGGGGGGCGAUUUCCCUCCCGUCGGCGUAACCCCCCUCUCUCCAUUCCCCCUUGCCGCCGCACGAGGCUGGUGCCGGGCCAGGCCUGGGGCGCGGUCGGGGACUGCAGCGGCGGGGCCUACUCUACUCCGAUCUGCAUCGGAGAGUCUCGGAUCUGGGCGGCGGCCCCUGGCGAGGCCCCCUGUCUCCUGCGGCGGGCAGUGGGGUUGGCGUGGUGCCGGCGAUCUGGUCGGGUGGCCGACGGAUCUCCGGUGGGCUGGGGCCUUGCGUGGCUGCCUUGGCGGCUGGCGGCACCAGAUCUGCCUGCUGGCCAUCUUCCUUGCUCGGUGCGCUUCUCCUGCGAGGGUCCCUGGGCGUGCUAGCUGGCCUGCCUCUGGGAUGCGGGCGAUUUUGGUGGUCGGGAUCCAGAUCGGGGGAAACCCGGGUCAGCUCCGGCCGGCCGCGACAACGACGACGCCCGCGGGCGCCGAUUUCUUCAUGGAGACGUUUGUCAAGGUCUGCCCUUUCACUCCUCACCACCUAGCUUGUCGGGUGAAAACCUAACUCCGGUGGGCGGCGGCGGCGUCUUUGGAGCCGCGACCUUCUUGAAGGCGUCGCCUUGAGGGCUGGGUGGUGGCGGGCGCUGUUUGGGGUCGGUGACAGCAGCCGAUGGCGACGCCGGGGAGGUCCGCUGUAGAGUGCAUUUCAGAUUUGCAUUAACAUUCUUCAGACACACGGUGUAGCGAAAAUGCGAAACUACUGAACUAGCUAGCAGCAGGAACGCAUAAUUAAGUUACUAACCAUAUCUUGCCAGAGAGAGCGGUGCCAAACAAGGGCCACGCCGGGGAGGUCCGCUGUAGAGUGCAUUUCAGAUUUGCAUUAACAUUCUUCAGACACACGGUGUAGCGAAAAUGCGAAACUACUGAACUAGCUAGCAGCAGGAACGCAUAAUUAAGUUACUAACCAUAUCUUGCCAGAGAGAGCGGUGCCAAACAAGGGCCACGCCGGGGAGGUCCGCUGUAGAGUGCAUUUCAGAUUUGCAUUAACAUUCUUCAGACACACGGUGUAGCGAAAAUGCGAAACUACUGAACUAGCUAGCAGCAGGAACGCAUAAUUAAGUUACUAACCAUAUCUUGCCAGAGAGAGCGGUGCCAAACAAGGGCCACGCCGGGGAGGUCCGCUGUAGAGUGCAUUUCAGAUUUGCAUUAACAUUCUUCAGACACACGGUGUAGCGAAAAUGCGAAACUACUGAACUAGCUAGCAGCAGGAACACAUAAUUAAGUUACUAACCAUAUCUUGCCAGAGAGAGCGGUGCCAAACAAGGCGUUGAUGGGGUCGGCAGGGAAGGUGCAAAUGCUGUAGAUACGUGUCUCUCUGUCAUGUGCGGAGAAACCCAUGGCAGAACAAGUGUGAUCGAUGAACUUGACGGCGCGGUAGGUUCGGCUUGGCAUCACCAUGAUGAUCGCCAUGUCGUGUGACCAUCCUAUGGCCUGGACCCUGGAUAGACGCAUCGCAGACGCUGCCGUCGAAGAACUCCACUAGAACUUUGGUACCCUCAACGACCAGUGGCGCUCCAGGGCCGUCGCCGGUGGGACGGAAACUGGCGAAGGUGUGGGCGACGGAAAACACCAGAGUGAAUCGGUCGCAGGAAUGGAGGAUGCUUCCGGUGCCAUAGCACACCGUCGUCGGGGGCUUUUCCACUUUCUUGCCGGCGCUGCUCUCCCCCUCCUUCUUCCUUUUCUUGCCGCCGCCGCCCUCCCCCUUGUCCUCUUCCUCUUCCUCUCCCGUGCGCUGCUUCCCACCGUCCUGGUUCCCCUCGCCCCCUAGCUCUGGGUGACUGGGUCGGAGGGCUCCCUGAAGGCCCUGAGGCUCACCACGGACUCGACGUGCUUCUCCACGAGUGCUCGGACCACGCGGCUGGUCUCCUCAUCGCUGCCCAUCGAAUCGAUCGCCCUCUCGCUGCAGGAAACGUCCGGAUCGGAAAGAAAAAAAAUCUCUGCAGAACAGAAAGGAGCCUUUUUUUUCU